UGGUAAACAAAAUUUUAUUUUAGAUUCAUUAGCUAACAAAAUUGACAAUGAUCAAGGGACUCGGAUGAAACCUAUCUAACCAAAAUUCUUUUAUUAUCUAAUGGGUUUGUAUGAUUAAGAUAAAGGUUAAAUCGUAUCGCAACUUAAACACAUACUAAUAUAGCAAGUAUUUAAAUUAGUUUUUGUAAGAUAAUGAUCCAACUUUACGCUUUCACGAUUAAGUACUUUGGUAACUUCAGUCACAUCUCCAAAGCGAGCGGGUGGGUAAAUAGAAAUGAGAUUUUGAGGAUCAUAUCCUUCAAACUUACAAGAAGAAAGCGAACCAGGUCGGAUAAGUCCUUCAUGAAAAAGUCCGUUUAUGGUCACAGCCUCUAGAGUCCGAUAUAGUGCUGACAUUCGGAAUUGGGUUUCUAUAAUUGCAUCGUUUUUACCCUGGGUAUCCAAAACUUGGAUCCAGUUGUCAUGUAAAACAGCUCGUCUCCAAAUGGUAUUUUCAUAAAAUCUCUUGGCAUCGUCCGUUAAUCUGGUGGUUAAAAGAAGACGCAAAGCAAGAUAAUAGUCGGUAACUUCACCUUCUACAAGGUCCUCUCGACGGUAUAAAGAAAAGCUGAGGUACUCCAACAGUUCAGUUGCUUCAACCACCUGUCCGGCAAUGAACUUUUUGACUACGCGCUGCAUAACCUGACGAGCGAUAACAGGCGCUACCUUGGCACCAAUCAAAUCAUCCACAACAGCUUCUACAAGCUGGUAUUUUUUCCCCUGAGAACGAAGCCGUUCAACGACUGGCAUAACACUUUUGGAAACCAUUUUUUGAAUAUGUAGUUGCUCAAGCUUUUGUUCCACUAAAACCAAAUCUCUGAUAUUUCCAGAGUUGGAUGGAACUGCAUAAAGAAAUAAUUUACUUAAUGAAAGCUCAGAUUC